rnacentral:rRNA from 1 species
GAACGCUGGCGGCGUGCUUAACACAUGCAAGUUGAGCGGAAAGGCCUCUUCGGGGGUACUCGAGCGGCGAACGGGUGAGUAACACGUGAGUAACCUGCCCCAGUCUUUGGGAUAACCCUCGGAAACGGGGGCUAAUACCGGGAUAUUCAGGUCUUGCCGCAUGGUGGGGUUUGGAAAGAUUUUUUGGUCUGGGUUGGGCUCGCGGCCUAUCAGCUUGUUGGUGGGGUGAUGGCCUACCAAGGCGACGACGGGUAGCCGGCCUGAGAGGGCGACCGGCCACACUGGGACUGAGACACGGCCCAGACUCCUACGGGAGGCAGCAGUGGGGAAUAUUGCACAAUGGGCGGAAGCCUGAUGCAGCGACGCCGCGUGAGGGAUGACGGCCUUCGGGUUGUAAACCUCUUUCAGCACCGACGAAGCGAGAGUGACGGUAGGUGCAGAAGAAGCGCCGGCCAACUACGUGCCAGCAGCCGCGGUAAGACGUAGGGCGCGAGCGUUGUCCGGAUUUAUUGGGCGUAAAGAGCUCGUAGGCGGUUUGUCGCGUCGUCCGUGAAAACUUGGGGCUCAACUCCAAGCUUGCGGUCGAUACGGGCAGGCUAGAGUUCGGUAGGGGAGACUGGAAUUCCUGGUGUAGCGGUGAAAUGCGCAGAUAUCAGGAGGAACACCGGUGGCGAAGGCGGGUCUCUGGGCCGAUACUGACGCUGAGGAGCGAAAGCGUGGGGAGCGAACAGGAUUAGAUACCCUGGUAGUCCACGCUGUAAACGUUGGGCGCUAGGUGUGGGGGGCCUCUCCGGUUCUCUGUGCCGCAGCUAACGCAUUAAGCGCCCCGCCUGGGGAGUACGGCCGCAAGGCUAAAACUCAAAGGAAUUGACGG